rnacentral:misc_RNA from 1 species
GAUGAAGAACGCAGCGAAAUGCGAUAAGUUAUGUGAAUUGCAGAAUUCAGUGAAUCAUCGAAUCUUUGAACGCACAUUGCGCCCGCCAGUAUUCUGGCGGGCAUGCCUGUUCGAGCGUCAUUUCAACCAUCAAGCCCCAGGCUUGUGUUGGGGACCUGCGGCUGCCGCAGGCCCUGAAAACCAGUGGCGGGCUCGCUGUCACACCGGGCGUAGUAGAUUUUAUCUCGCUCAGGGCGUGCUGCGGGUUCCGGCCGUUAAAAAGCCUUUUUUACCCAAGGUUGACCUCGGAUCAGGUAGGAAGACCCGCUGAACUUAAGCAUAUCAAUAAGCGGAGGA